rnacentral:ncRNA from 1 species
ACUAAAAAACAUUUUUGUCAAAACCUCUAGGCCAAGGGAUAAUCUUAAAUGUACAGUUUAUAUGAGGACUAGCCUCCUAAAAGAUGAUGGAGGCAUGUAAAGGUUUUCUCAAACUAGAUGAAGAUUAGCCCUUGAGUGCAAAGGUAGGAGGGAGCUUGACUGCAUGACCCGCCUAUUGAGUAAGGACAAAAGUAAACCUUAGUGAUCUAACAGUGCUAAGUAUAAGGGUCAUCGUUUAAUAGAUAAAAGUUACUUUAAGGAUAACAAGUUAAUCUCCCCCGAGAGUUCACAUUGACGGGUUAUAAUAUAUUUAAAGGGUUGGGUUGUUCGCCCGUUAAAAUAGUACGUAACCUGGAUUUAGAAUGUUGUGAGAUAGUUUAAUCCAUAU